rnacentral:rRNA from 1 species
AUUGAACGCUGGCGGCAGGCUUAACACAUGCAAGUCGAGCGCCCCGCAAGGGGAGCGGCAGACGAGUGAGUAACGCGUGGGAACGUACCCUUUGCUACGGAAUAGCUCCGGGAAACUGGAAUUAAUACCGUAUGUGCCCUACGGGGGAAAGAUUUAUCGGCAAAGGAUCGGCCCGCGUUGGAUUAGCUAGUUGGUGGGGUAAUGGCCUACCAAGGCGACGAUCCAUAGCUGGUCUGAGAGGAUGAUCAGCCACAUUGGGACUGAGACACGGCCCAAACUCCUACGGGAGGCAGCAGUGGGGAAUAUUGGACAAUGGGCGCAAGCCUGAUCCAGCCAUGCCGCGUGAGUGAUGAAGGCCUUAGGGUUGUAAAGCUCUUUCACCGGAGAAGAUAAUGACGGUAUCCGGAGAAGAAGCCCCGGCUAACUUCGUGCCAGCAGCCGCCGUAAUAC